GCUCCUGCCCUGACAGAUUCUCCUGUCGGGGUCACAGGGACUCUAAGAUUGCUACCUGCACCUUCGCUGUCCAUGCUGUCCCGGGUGGUACUUUCCACCGCCACCACAGCGGCCCCCUCUCUGAAGAAUGCAGCCUUCCUAGGUCCAGGAGUAUUGCAGGCAACAAGGACCUUCCAUACAGGGCAGUCACACCUUGCCCCUGUACCACCUCUUCCUGAAUAUGGAGAAAAAGUUCGUUAUGGACUGAUCCCUGAGGAAUUCUUCCAGUUUCUUUAUCCUAAAACUGGUGUAACAGGACCCUGUGUGCUCGGAACUGGGCUUAUCUUGUAUGCUUUAUCCAAAGAAAUAUAUGUGAUUAGCGCAGAGACCUUCACUGCCAUAUCAUUAAUAGGGAUAAUGGUCUAUGGAAUUAAAAAAUAUGGUCCCUCUGUUGCAGAAUUUGCUGAUAAACUCAACGAGCAAAAACUUGCCCAACUAGAAGAGGUGAAGCAGGCUUCCAUCCAACAAAUCCAGAAUGCAAUUGCUAUGGAGAAGUCACAGCAGGCACUGACUCAGAAGCGCCAUUACCUUUUUGAUGUGCAAAGGAAUAACAUUGCUAUGGCUUUGGAGGUUACUUACGGGGAACGACUGUAUAGAGUAUAUAAGGAAGUAAAGAAUCGCCUGGACUAUCAUAUAGCUGUGUAGAACAUGACGCCUCGAAAGGAACAAGAGCACAUGAUAAAUUGGGUGGACAAGCACGUGGUGCAAAACAUCUCCGCACAGCAGGAAAAGGAGACAGUUGCCAAGUGCAUUGUGGACCUAAAGCUGCUGGCAAAGAAGGCUGAAGCACAGCCGGUUAUGUAAAUGGAUCUAUCCCAAUUGAGACAGCUAGAAAUAGUUGACAAACUAAAUGGAAACUAGUC